rnacentral:lncRNA from 1 species
AUCAGGUAUGGAGUUCUAAACUCAGAUUAGAAAUAGAUGUGAUUUACUGCUCAUACGCAUGCAUGCUGAUUUUAUCUUCAGAUUAUUUCAGAUUUUAUAUGUAACAUAAUGUGUCAUAGAUCUUAGAGUAGGUUGAUUUGAUGAUUAGAUCAUAUGUAUGUUAGAUUAAUUUGAUUAAUCUAGUUGUCUUCCGCUAUAAUUUUUUUGAAAAAGUUUCGAAAUACAUGCAUAAAAUCGCCUAUGCAUCUCAACAAUAUGAUGGUGUAUUAAUUUUUUCCAAGU